GGGAGUCUCACCCUAGCAACAGCAAGAUUAUAAACGAUGAGAGUUCUCAAUUUGAGCUAGGUAACCGUUUGACAAUUCAGACGUUUUGUUUACAUUUACAGUGAAAUAAAAUAAAAUUAAAUGUGAGUUUUCCAUCAUUCCCGAAAUGGACAAACUGCAGGCAGAAGAUGCACGGUACUUGAAAAGGAAAGUAAAACGGGGGAGUUUGGAUGUCCACCCGACAGAGAAAGCCCUCGUUGUUCAGUAUGAGGUGGAGGCGACUAUCCUCGGCGAAAUGGGGGACCCGAUGGUUGGAGAACGCAAGGAGUGUCAGAAAAUCAUCCGCCUUAAAAGCUUAAACGCCAACACAGACAUCACCACCCUGGCUCGCAGGGUGGUGGAGGAAUGCAGGCUCAUUCAUCCAUCUAAACUUCCAGAGGUGGAACAACUGCUGUUCUACCUGCAGAACCGCAAGAAGCCAGACAAACAAGAGAAACAUUCGCCCAGAGACCUCACACCAUUUGAGGGGAUGGAGCUGGAUGAGGAGGCCAACAUCAACUGCAUAGAUGACUAUGUAGAGCUGCUGUAUGAAGACAUCCCAGAGAAGGUCAGGGGAGCCACCCUCAUUCUCCACCUCGCCCGCAACCCUGACAACCUGGAAGAGCUCCUGCAGAAUGAAACGGCCCUGGGAGCUCUGGCCAGAGUCCUGAGGGAGGACUGGAAACAGAGCGUUGACAUGGCAACUACCAUUAUCUACGUCUUCUUCUGCUUCUCCAGUUUCUCCCAGUUUCAUGGGCUAGUGACCCACUAUAAGAUCGGAGCCCUCUGUAUGAACAUCACUGAACACGAGCUGAAGAGGUACGACCUCUGGCAGGAUGAACUGCAGAAGAAGAAGAAGGCUUAUGAAGAGGACCCUGACAACCAGAAUGUGAAGAAGGAACAUGAGAAAGCCUUGAAGAAAUACCAGGGCCUCCUGAGCAAGCAGGAGCAGCUUCUACGAGUGGCUCUGUACCUGUUGUUAAACCUGGCUGAGGACACACGCACAGAGCUGAAAAUGAGGAACAAGAACAUCGUCCACAUGCUGGUGAAGACCCUGGACCGGGAGGACGAGGAGCUACUGGUGCUCGUGGUCUCCUUCCUCAAGAAACUCAGCAUCUUCCUGGAGAACAAGAACGACAUGGCAGAGACGCAUGCGGUGGAGAAACUGGCCAGGCUGCUGGCCUGUGAUCAUGAGAACCUACUGAACACUACCCUGCGUCUGCUCCUCAACCUCUCCUUUGACACAGGCCUCCGCAGCCAGAUGGUUCAGGCUGGACUCAUCCACAAACUCUCCUUAAUGCUAGCUGACGAGAAGCAGGGACAGCUGUGUAUGUGCAUUCUGUACCACAUCAGUGUGGAUGACCGAUUCAAGUCCAUGUUUGCCUACACAGACUGCAUACCACAGUUGAUGAAGAUGCUGUUUGAGUGUGGUGAGAGCCACAUGGAACCUGAGCUCAUCUCCUUCUGCAUCAACCUGGCUGCCAACAAGAGGAACGCACAGGUCAUCUGUGAAGGUAAUGGUCUGAAGAUGCUGAUGAAGAGGGGUCUGAAGUUAAAGGAUGUUCUUAUCAUGAAGAUGAUCAGGAACUUGUCACAACAUGACGGACCCACCAAGAACCUCUUCAUAGACUAUGUGGGUGACCUAGCGGCUCAGAUGGGAGCGGAGGAGAGGGAGGAGUAUGUGAUAGAGUGUCUGGGGACUCUGGCUAACCUCACCAUCCCUGACCUGGACUGGGAACUGGUGCUGAAGGAGUACAACCUGGUGCCCUACCUCAAAGACCACCUCAAACCAGGCUCGGCAGAGGAUGACCUUAUCCUAGAGGUGGUGAUCAUGAUAGGGACGGUGUCCAUGGAUGUCUCCUGUGCUGCCACGAUGGCCAAGUCUGGCAUCAUCCCUGCUCUCAUCGAGCUGCUCAACGCCCAACAGGAGGAUGAUGAGUUUGUGUGUCAGAUUGUCUAUGUGUUGUACCAGAUGGUGGUCCACCAGGCCACCAGGGACGUCAUCAUCAAGGACACACAGGCUCCUGCCUACCUCAUUGACCUGAUGCACGACAAGAACGCUGAGAUACGGAAAGUCUGUAACAACACACUGGACAUCAUCGCUGAGUAUGAUAAGGAGUGUGAGAGAAAGAUCCAGAGUGAGAAGUUCCGCUGGCACAACUCCCAGUGGUUAGAGAUGGUGGAGAACAGAGCCAUGGGAGACGACGGAGAACCCUUCAUGUUUGGAGACGAUGGAGAAGCAUUCAUGCACAACGGAGACAUUCUGGAGAGACCCGACCUCUUCUACACCGCAGAUGGGAUCAUCCCAGCAGAUGGUACCAUCAGCCCAGAGUUCUUCACAGACUACCAGAACGGAGACAUUGGCCAGGCUGGAGGCUUUCCCGGCAGUAUGAAUCCGGAUAUGUUUGGGCAGUCGACGGUGACCCCUGGACAGCGCCCUGCCACGACCUACGGCACCCGGCCAGACGAGCAGUUCUUCUACAGCUACGCUGGUGCAGCUUCCAGAUGAACCAGGUUAACUUCACUAUACCACAGAGACUUACUGCAGCUAUGUCUCAUCUAGCCAGGUUAACUUCACUAUACCACAGAGACUGACUGCAGCUAUAUCCCAUCUAGCCAGGUUAACUUCACUAUACCACAGAGACUGACUGCAGCUAUGUCUCAUCUAGCCAGGUUAACUUCACUAUACCACAGAGACUGACUGCAGCUAUAUCCCAUCUAGCCAGGUUAACUUCACUAUACCACAGAGACUGACUGCAGCUAUAUCCCAUCUAGCCAGGUUAACUUCACUAUACCCAGAGACUGACUGCAGCUAUGUCUCAUCUAGCCAGGUUAACUUCACUAUACCACAGAGACUGACUGCAGCUAUGUCCCAUCUAGCCAGGUUAACUUCACUAUACCACAGAGACUGACUGCAGCUAUGUGUCCCAUCUAGCCAGGUUAACUUCACUAUACCACAGAGACUGACUGCAGCUAUGUCUCAUCUAGCCAGGUUAACUUCACUAUACCACAGAGACUGACUGCAGCUAUGUAUCCCAUCUAGCCAGGUUAACUUCACUAUACCACAGAGACUGACUGCAGCUAUGUCUCAUCUAGCCAGGUUAACUUCACUAUACCACAGAGACUGACUGCAGCUAUAUCCCAUCUAGCCAGGUUAACUUCACUAUACCACAGAGACUGACUGCAGCUAUGUCUCAUAUAGCCAGGUUAACUUCACUAUACCACAGAGACUGACUGCAGCUAUAUCCCAUCUAGCCAGCUAUGCUUUGUGGUCAUGAAGGAGUAUCAACACUCCUUCCUGUAUGUUCAACAGCGCCUUGGUAUCUCAGCUGAUCCCUUCUAGUGCUGUAGUCCAAACUCUAGCAGUGAUGUUGUUGCUGUUUUAUUGAAUGAAAACAUUACAUCUUAAGCUACCUAAGUGAUGUUGUUGCUGUGUUAUUGAAUGAAAACAUUACAUCUUAAGCUACCUAAGUGAUGUUGUUGCUGUUUUAUUGAAUGAAAACAUUACAUCUUAAGCUACCUAAGUGAUGUUGUUGCUGUUUUAUUGAAUGAAAACAUCACAUCUUAAGCUACCUAAGUGAUGUUGUUGCUGUUUUAUUG